rnacentral:tRNA from 2 species
UCUUCCGUAGUAUAGUGGUCAGUAUGUGAGCUUGUCAUCGGACUCCACCAGGCCCAGACAUCGCUCGAGACCCGGGUUCAAUUCCCGGCGGGAGAG